rnacentral:lncRNA from 1 species
GCCAUUCUUCCGCCUCAGCCUUCCAAGUAGCUGGGACUACCGGCGCCCGCCAUCGCGCCCAGCUCAUUUUUUUGUAUUUUUAGUAGAGAGGGGGUUUCACCGUUUUAGCCAGGAUGGUCUCGAUAUCCUGACCUUGUGAUCCGCCCGCCUCGGCCUCUCAAAGUGCUGGGAUUACAGGCGUGAGCCACCGCGCCCGACCUAUUGGUUUCUUUUUUUGACACGGAGUCUCACUCUGCCACCCAGGGUGGAGUGCAGUGAUGCAACGUCUCCCUCUUGGGUUCAAGCAAUUCUCCUGCCUCAGGCUCCCAAGUAGCUGGGAUUACAGAAAACUCUUGAGUUCUCCCUGAAAGGAGACUAAAGAACAAUCCUCUGCAGAUGUGUCUGAAUCCUAAAAUGAACUUAAGUCAAGCAUGAUCCCUAAGGCUGCUCAGGGAGAGAGAACCUAGAAACCUGGCAUGCUGGCAAAAGGAGACCAUCAAGCUUCAGAUGAUCAUGCAACAAAAGUCCCAGCUAGUUCCAGGUGAAGACAACACACCUGGCCUUCAAAAAGCUACUCUGCCUCCACUAGAGAGAACAGGGCGAGAGUUCCAUGAUCCCCAGUAGAGUCUCACUCUGUGUCACAGGCUGAAGUGCAGUGGCACAAUCUUGGCUCACUGCAACCUCCACCUCCCGGGUUCAAGUGAUUCUCCUGCUUCAGCCUCCGGAGUAGCUGGGACUACAGGAUGAAAACUAUAAAUCAUUCGCUUUCCCAGAGUGAAGUUUGACUUAUUCCUGUGGCCAACAUGGCUUAUGGACACCAAGGACAAAUAAGUCAGAAUAACUUGAUGGAAAAGACCUUCAGCGAUAACUACAUAGUUUUCAUCUCUUGUAUGAACAAAGUGUUAAAUUUUCUCUACUAUCAAUUCUUUAGUGAUAUAUUGGCUAUGAUUUUUUUCUGUUCCAUGAUAUAUAUUAUUUUAUCAUAUAAUAUACAUUGAUAUAUGAAUUGAUUAAGGUCAGGGAUUUAUACCAAGAUAAUAAUUUGUUCUAAAAACUAUAUGUUCAGUUUUUAUCAUUAAAAACAUUUUAAAUAAUAACUAAUUCUCAUUUGUAGUCAAUAAGUGGCACAUGCAUAAUCAUAUGGCAAAGAUAUAUUUUUGUUUGGUGCUGUAGGUACAAAUUACAGUUUGAUCUUUCAUACUUUAUGAAAACAAUGGUAUAAAUAGAUAUAUGGUUCAUAUUGCAGUUGAAUAUAAUAUUUAUUCAAUAACAUUUAUUAAUGAUAUUUCAGGAAGUAUUUCUCAUAUUUUAAUGUAUACAUGAACCACAUGGUAUCCUCUUAAAAAAGCAAAUUUUGGUUCAGUUUUUAGAAGAUGGAGCUAAGAUUUUUUCAUUUCAAACUGCUUUGUGAUCCGCUGAUCUCAGUUUCAGUAGCAAAUUUAAAAAUAUGUAUGCUUCUGGAUUUUAAUAGAUAACUGAAAUAAAACAAAAUAUUUUUCAGUA